CUACCAAGGCAUCAGAUAUGUGUUCUAUCAAUGCCGACAGUGAUGUAGAAUCAAAGGUCAAUCGGUACAUACUCCUAAGAUAUUGCCAAAACAAAUGUGAAUGUUUACACUGAAUAAAAGGAUGCUCACAAUCCUCCACAUAAGUAGGACAAUCAUCACAAAAUUUUUCAGUCAGAGGAAUUAUAUUAUAUCGGCUGAGGAUCCCUUUGCAGGGUAGUCGAUUCCAUAGCAGUCUCUACCAAAAAGUUUUAACUCGCAAAGGUACUCCUAACGACCAAAUCCACACAGAGUUUACCUGCACAUUAGAAACAUUAUUAGAAAACGGUAACCUUUUCAUAUCACUCCAUGAGACAUGUUGUAAUUUUGAAGUUCCCCAUACCAAUUGAUCUGGCCACUGACCUUGCGAUAAUGGUAUUGAACAAAUAAGAUUCACCAUAUCCAUGGAAAAAUAAAGUAGAAGAUACUGAACGUUCCAUUACCUAUUGGGAAGUAUAAAAUCAGAAACAUGUAAAUCUAAAUCUAAAUUAUUCAUAAUCAUAUACGUAGGCCAGGCCAAGAGUGGGAUAGUAGUUAUCCAAGGGUCUUGAUACACAUGAACUGCAGUACCUGUGCCAACCACCCAUUGAAAUUGGAACUUUAUAAGAUCUCCAGCUUGAGCAAUCUUCCGCCAGAUGACAGAAGAUCUUCUAGGACAGAUAUAAUACAACCAAGACCCCGUAAACUUAUAUUUCGCUCUUACCAGUUGUGCCCAUAAAGUAUCAGGAUCAAGAACUAAAUGAGCUGCAAGCUUACAAGUACACUGCAGGCAUCUGAGUAGAAAGUUGAAACUUAGCCCACCUUUUGACUUUGGAGUACAAAUCUGACUCCAAGCAAUUGGAUGAAAAGCAUGAUGAUCAGAAUUAUGACCCUAAAAGAAAGGAUCCAAAUUCUUUAUCAAUCUGACGAAGUAUAGAGAUAGGGACAUGCACAGAUGAGUAAACAUAUAAAGGAAUCGCACUCAAUACGGACUGGAGUAAUGUCAUUCAGCCAGCAAGGGAUAAAGUUCUCCAUUUCCAAGCUGUAAGUUUUGUAGUAAUUUUAUUUAAAAGAAAUUGAAACUCUGAGGAUUUGAAUGACGUACCUGAUAAUGGAGCCCCUAAAUAAUGUCAGCCCCCUCUUUUUUUCAAAAUAUGGAGAAGAUCAAGGAUGUUAUCUUGAGUAGUACGAUUUAUAC
rnacentral:lncRNA from 1 species